GGGGAUGUAGCUCAAAUGGUAGAGCGCUCGCUUUGCAUGCGAGAGGUAAGAUCCCCUGCAUCUCCA
rnacentral:tRNA from 1 species